rnacentral:tRNA from 1 species
AUUUAAGUACCAUAUAAUUUAAUGGAUUCAAUUUCGACUUGAAUUAAGAAUAUUUUCCUUAAUUU